rnacentral:rRNA from 1 species
CAAUAGCGUAUAUUAAAGUUGUUGCAGUUAAAAGCUCGUAGUUGGAUUUCUGGUGGGAGUGAUCGGUCUGCCCGUCAUGGGGGUGUGUACUAGUGUCGUCUCUUGCCAUCCUUGGGGAGAGCUUGCCUGGCAUUAAGUUGUCGGGCAAGGGAUCCCAUCCUUUACUGUGAAAAAUUAGAGUAGUUUAAAGCAGGCUUUAAGGCCGUUGAAUACAUUAGCAUGGAAUAAUAAGAUAGGACUUUGGUGGUCUAUUUUGUUGGUUUGCACACCAAGGUAAUGAUUAAUAGGGACAGUUGGGGGUGAUCCGUAUUUCGUAGUCAGAGGUGAAAUUCUUGGAUUUCCGAAAGACGAACUACUGCGAAAGCAUUUACCAAGGGAUGUUUUCAUUAAUCAAGAACGAAAGUUAGGGGAUCGAAGAUGAUCAGAU